AAAGUAAUCAGUACUCUGUACUAAUUAUAAACCCAUCUGUGUAUCUUACCUGUUGCUUCCGUGGGGUGCGGUGGCUUCGGCCACCGCUUGACCCACGGGAGGUCUACACCAAACCAUUGCAUUGCCAUGAUCUCAGUCUGAAAUGUAAAAAACAAAAGUUA
rnacentral:misc_RNA from 1 species